rnacentral:miRNA from 1 species
CAGUUAAAUUUGAGCUUCUUUUAGCCUAAGUAUAUCCCAUACAAUAUUUGGGACAUACUUAUGCUAACAGAAGCUCAAAUGUAACCAGACAUCUUGUUUUUAUUUGCUGAAUCUUGUA